CAUCUAUGAUGAUCCUAUCCCGAACCUGAAUUUCUGUUGAAAAAACAACACGGAUCUGGCUUCUGAGAU